AUGGAAAAUAAUCUAUUACUACUCUAUAAGGGCUUAUUGUAGGCGUCCACAGUGGCACCCGUUCUGCCAUCCUCCCUUCGCGCAAUCACAGGAAUCGUCGCGCGGACGCGCGACUUCCUUCCUUAUACGCCACUUCCUUCCCCGGCUUCCUCCCCCACCAACGGCGCCGCAAUCCAAGCCGAUCCCGACCCAUCUCUCCAUGAAGGAAGCGCGCGGUCCACUCCGCGUCAACCCCGACCCGGCCACCACGUGGAUCCACUCUGCUCGAUGCCGCAAUCCAUGGCGCACAAGCUUCCUUCUACGCGCGGCUUCCUCCCCCAUCAACGGCGCCACAAUCCAAGCCGACCCCGAUCCGUGUCUCCAUGGAAGGAAGCGUGCGGUCCGCUCCUCGACCCGUCUCUCCAUGGAAGGAAUAGGUACCACAAAACCACAACCGCGCGGUUUUCUCCCUCCCCCGGCUCCCGCGGCGCAAGCGCAGCCCAACCAAGCGCCAUGGCCGCCGCCGCCGCCGCCCCCGACGCCGACGUCUACGAUAUUCCGUGGCUGGAGAAGUACCUCCCCGCCCGCGUCGCUGACGUCAUCGGAAACUCCGAUGCCGUCACCCGCCUAGAGGUCAUUGCCCGCGACGGCAAUGGAUGAUUUUUGGAAUAUAAGGCUGGCAAUGUGAUUGAUGAUGAAACUCAUUUGGAAGAGCAUAUUCCCCCAUUCCCCAGUUCAACGGAUGUUAAAAGGGAUUCACCUCUUGCUCCUCCCCACCCUCCAUCACCUACCCUUGAAGAACCUGUGGAAGAAGCACCCAAGACAUAUGCUUCUGUUGCGAACGAAAUCAAAGGCAACGAUGGCGAUUACAGAGUCACAGCAGGCUCAACAGUUGGCCCAGCAGCCACAGUCUGCCUCAGUGCAUGAAAAGUCUAACCUGGACAACCACCGAGAUGUUAGCAUCCCUGAGGAUGAAUGUCUUUUUCAUUUUUUGUUCACUGUUUCACUCAUGCUUCUAAUGAGUUUUUAUUGGACCUAUGUUUAAAAUGUCUUGUCAUUAAAACAAUUUAUAGGUAAUGAACAUGGCUAAAAAUCCAUUCGAUC